rnacentral:lncRNA from 1 species
UUUUCAGUUCCACUUUUCCCUGUGUAAGAAAAAAAACAGUCUUGUAUUCCCUAAUUAACUUUCUUUUUAUUCUCCGUAAAAAAAGUUUAUUUCUUAUUUUUUUUAGUGAAGCAAUCAAAUCAAAUCUUUAAGUUAAAAAGCCAAAAAAACCUACCUCGCCUCCAUUUUUGCGUCUCCUUCCUUCUCCAUAUCCUUUGAUCUACUUCCCAUCACUGCUUAUCUCUCUCUGCUUCUUCUAUAUCAAACAAAUCGAACACUGCAACACACCGCGACGGUCGUUCCGAAGAUGAAUCUUAACUACAUCGCGAGAAGCUCUUCGAAUACGGUGAGAAAUUCAAUAGUUCCAAGAACAAAUCUCAGGUCAUUGUCACCUCUAUAAUUUCAAUGUCUCUUCGUUUUUUAUUUAGUGUUUUAGAUGGUGUUGUUGUUCAAGUUUUCUUUCAAUUAGGGUUUUGAACUGUCGUUUUUAACACUCAGAUCUUUAGGGAUUUGUGUGUGUUGUUGUGAAGAAACACCUGCUUACUUGAUCUUCUACGUUACACAAGAAAGUUUUUUGCCAACUAAUGAACUCUUUUUGCACAGGUGAUACUCUGAAUGCAUUGAAGAACAACAUGAAUUAUCCUAACAAUGAAUUAUCCUAAUGUUGUUCUUUAAUGUUUUAUAAUGUAGACCAAGAGAGGCUUUGUGUUUGCUGUCAAGGAGUCCAUUGUUUAGUUCAUUUUGGGGAAAUUUUGGUGUUUGAUUUGGUGCUAAAAGCUUCUUCCAAGACACUAUAAGGGUAUUUAUUUAUUUAUUUAUUUGAUAAUUGGCUAAUCAAAGUCUUUCUUAUCUUUAUGGUAACGAAAAUACUUAAUUCAAGAAUCCA